rnacentral:rRNA from 1 species
AUUGAACGCUGGCGGCAGGCCUAACACAUGCAAGUCGAACGAGUGGCGGACGGGUGAGUAAUGUCUGGGAAACUGCCCGAUGGAGGGGGAUAACUACUGGAAACGGUAGCUAAUACCGCAAAUCAACGGAUGUGCCCAGAUGGGAUUAGCUAGUAGGUGGGGUCACGGCUCACCAAGGCGCCGAUCCCUAGCUGGUCUGAGCGGUUGACCAGCCAAACUGGAACGUAGACACGGUCCAGACUCCUACGGGAGGCAGCGGUGGGGAAUAUUGCACAAUGGGCGCAAGCCUGAUGUAGCCAUGCCGCGUGGAUGAAGAAGGCCUUCGGGUUGUAAAGUACUUUCAGCGAGGAGGCGUUACUCGCAGAAGAAGCACCGGCUAACUCCGUGCCAGCAGCCGCGGUAAUAC